CACAUCAUUUACAUGCCAUGUUACGCUUCGGCGUAAUCUACUAUUCGCAGCAUUUCUCUGUUGCUGCGAGUAUUUUCAACAUGGCAAAGAUUAAACUAUGGACACGUUGCUGGGCGCCCGAAUUCAAGACAUCGUUUUGAAUGUCUAGGAGAUUUCGGGAAUCAGUAGAGGUUACAUUU
rnacentral:snoRNA from 1 species